rnacentral:lncRNA from 1 species
UUGCCAGCUCAGCAUUUAGGGGUAAUAAAUAUAGAAAAAAAUAGAUCAAGUAAUAGGUUUAAUUGAAAGGUUGAGUGUGGAGUUGAGAUUUUGGGGUAAUAAAUAUAGGAAAAAAUAGAUCAGGGUAAUAGGUCUAAUUGAAAGGUUGAGCGUGUAGUUGAGAUUUCGACUAUAGGUUGGAAGUAUUUGAUCAUUUUCUCUAUUAUAUCCUGAGGCUAUGUUUUAAUAGCCAUCUUAAAACAAGAAGAUAUUUUCUGAAAGAAAGGCACUAUUCUUGUCCCAGUCAAAAGAGCACAAACAUUGCUUCAUAUACAAAACCAUAUUAAGUACCACUGUUAGUGAGCUGAUCACUGCCAAAAUUUGUAUAUAGGAAUGUAUUCUUUAAGAGGAAACUUAAAAACAAAAAAAAUGAUCUGGCUAUGGCAAACAUAUAUUACGAAGCGUCAUGCCUCAGAUACAAAUGACGCCAUAAUCAAGCUUGUGCUAGUUUUAACCGGGGGACAAUGUUCAUUGAUUGGAGCUCUUGGAUUAGGAGUUUGCAUGCAUAAGGCAACUUCAUCAUAGAAAUAUUUUCCCCGUUCUUGCACAGAGAACAAAUGCCAGUCUUCAACUUGUAGUUGUAAUAUCCCAAUAUGCCAGUCUUUAACUUGUACUUGUAAUAUCCCAACAAACCACAUUUUCGGCAAACCUGAACCUCAAAACCUAAAAACUUCAUGGAAAGCCAACGGAUAAAAGAUAGGGGAAAUUCGAAAUUCAAAAAAAGUUGAAACAGACAAUUCUCUUGCAAAUUUGGACGACUCUCAAGCAUUAAUGGCGGAUUCCCCUUGUAUCACCGAUUUGGCACUUCUUAUCGCUCACGAGUCAGAAUGCCUAAAAAUAGGAUGAAUCUUAGCAGGUGCGUUCAGUCGUCGCAGAGGUGACGCGAGCCAUGACUAAGAUUUUUCUUGUUUGAGGGAGAUGAGAACAGAGGAAGAAGGAGUGAAGUAAGAUUAGGGUCGGUUGGUGUCGUUGUAUUUUGGUAAAGUUAAUGGAGAGAGAUUGAACGAGGGUAUGCGGAAGGGGAAUAAUAUAUGUGUUUCAGGGAUGAAAAAAAUUUGCGGAUCUGGACCAUUUCAUCCCUUAAUCAACGCUCGGGCCUCGGGCCCACCCCAAGAACCGUGGGCACCCACCGUAAGGUGUAUAUUUAUGCUAUUUUCCCUCCCUAUUCAAGCCAUGAACCUCAACUUCACAGUUUGAUUCUUUCAAACUCAUCAUAAAGCCAAUAUGUACACGUGAAAUCAAAAUGCAACUACAUUAAAUGAUUUUCCUUUUUUUUUUUAUAUUGGCUUUAAAUAAGGAUGCUCAAAGCAUUACCGGUGCAAAUCCAACAUUUUACAGUGAUCACCAAUGAUAACUACUCCUAUCAGCUACUCCAAAUGAAAGCAAACACAAUAUCUCAGUUUAAAUGUUUGCCCAUAGGCAAUACACGAUUAUAAACUUGGACCACAACUUCAUAGUUCCCAAAUCUGCUGGUAGCUACCUCGUACUGAAUAUUUAGCUGAAGGUGAGAGGAGGUCAAUCAAAUCUCACCAAGAUAGAUCUGUUUAUCACUACUGCAAGAUCCAAUAAUUGGUUCAUUAGGAUGAAAAACACAUUCAUUAACAGAACCAGUGUGUCCAGGGAGCUUAUACAGGAUGCGCCUAGAUGUUGUAUCCCAGACAUAAACCAUGCGAUCAGAACUCCCAGCUGUUACCUUACUUCCAUCAGGCGACCAACUGCAUUUCAGCAAGUUCUUUUCAAAAUUGUGUUGGUGGCCUUCCAAGAUCUUAACACAUCGAUUUUGGGGGGCAUAAGGGCGCAUGUCCCAUAUGCGCAGUGUGCAGUCCAUCGCAUUAGUAAGAAGAUAAGACCCAUCAGGACUCAGCUGCAUACCAGUUAUAGUAUCAUGAUGGCCCUGAAGGGUCAUAGUUACUUCACACCUUCGUAAAUCCCACAAUUUCACAUCAUUGUCAAUGCCACCUGUGCAGAUCUUAUCGGAGGCAUCAGAGAAACUGACGGCAGUAAUUUGAAAUUUGUCUGGAAAUGUUUGUAUGGCUCCUCUUUGGCGCAUAUCCCAAAGUUUAGCAGUGCCAUCAUCAGAUCCGCUGACAAUAAGAGGAGGGCCCCUCCGAGCGGGGCAGCAUGAAUUCACAAAUGAGGAAUGUUCAGCCAUUUUCUUUAUUUGUUUCCCUGUUUCAACGUCCCACGCCCUAACAGUCUUAUCAGGGCUAGCUGAUACUAUUGUUGAUCCAUCAGUAGUCCAUUGAACAUCAAGAACUGCAUUUUUGUGCCCUUUCAAGACCAUAAAAUUCUUGCAAUCACCAUGUACAUUCCAAAGAAAGAUUUCUUUGUCAUGUGAACCAGAUGCAAUGAUUGUACCUGCAGGAUUGAACUUCAUAGUAUAUACUGCACUUUGAUGUCCAGAAAGCAACAUAAUUGGUGACUCCAAGCUAGAUGUCCGUGGUUUUCCGUUUGUUCCAAGUCCUUGGGGACCGCUAGGAAGCACCGUAGACAACUCCAUCGGCCUUGGGCCAAUAACUGACAAAGCACUUUCAGUUUGCAUCUUGGUCUUCACUUGCACCUAAGAAAUUCACGAUAGUUCAGCUAACAAUUACAAGAAAUAUAAUAGGAAACAUAAGCUAAAGAUGUAGAACUACAAAUGUUAAAUACAGCGCUGCGUGUCCAUACAAUUCAGUAAUCAAUUCGAGCAAUAAUUACUCUCAAGGCUUCAAUUUGAGAUAUAUUCCUGUAAGAACAAAAGGAUAAAUCAACGUUUUGGAAUCUCUAUUGGACAAAGACCACAGGCCUACACAUUUUUCCCUUCGUCGGAAGUUGCUUAUAUUUCCAGGAUCGGACAAAAGAAAAACUCCAAUAAUCCAUUCCACAUGUCCCUUAGAAGAUAUUUCAUGAUAUAUUCAAGACAAAAUUACAGCAUCAUAAACUUCAAAAUCCAUGGUGGACAGGGAACACAGGCGCCUGUUCUUUUCCCUUUCACCAAAGAAAAGGCCCAUCAAUGGAUUACAUUAUUUGCUUGAUUAUUUUUUUUUUAAGGGAGAUACAGGAUUGGGAUGAUCAUGUUGGUUGAGGCAAACAACACACAACUAGUUAGACUGUCCUCGUGAAAAUUUCAAAAAUGUAGCAGAAGAAAAAAAAAACAAAUCACCCAAAGCAUAAAGAGACAUUGAUCGGAGACGGCAAUAAAUAAAGUAACACAACUGAUGUCGAUAAACCACAAAAUGUCAAGGUUACAUAUAACUCUGACAAGCAGAUCAAAAGUGUCCUUUAACAAAGGCACUAUUACCAGUCUGUAAAACUCUAACUUGUUUAAUCGCAAAAAUGAACAGAAAUUCAUCAACACGAUAUAUUUUGGGACAAUUUUCUCGGUUUUCAUAUAAACUGAAUUGAGCGAAAUUGGAAACUAAUACAAUCUAGUACUGAAAUUGGAAAUGGAUAGGGGGCGCAUCAUCACUCCACAGUUGAGCUGAUAGAGCUCAUCACCACUCCAUUGUUGAGCUGAUAACCACUUUGAACAUGCCCUCUCUCUCUCCUGUCAGUUGAUUAUAACAGUGUUAACCACCUGGCUGAUGUGGCAGAAUCCUCGCCCUUGCUGCUCAUUAAAUUGGUUCUAAUCUCAGCAAAUUGGCUUCCCUUUCUCUACUCGACUUAGACCCUCUACAGCUACAUUUAUUUAUUCUCCUUUAUUGAAUUACUUAGAUCAUGACAUUCCUUAGAUCAUGACAUUCCAGCUCCCUUGAGAUCAUCCUUGACCUCAGGAUCAACAAUCGAACCCUGGAAACUUAGCUUUAAUGAAAUGGUAAUCUUCUGAAGUAGCAUUGUCUGGGAAAGAUUAGACCACUGUACCAACACUUUCACAACUGCAACAUUAUUUCUCUUAACCUGUUGCCUCUGAAGAAUGGCACGGGCUUGACCUGAUACUGACCAUCCUUUCCUGUGGUAGGCAAAACAGUCUGAACUACAACCCUAUCUCCCUCCUCCUCCUUGAGAAGUGAGAUAUGGAAUACCGGAUGAAUCUUAGAAUUAGGGGGACGUUCCAGCUUGUAAGCAACACUUCCAAUUAUAGCAAUCACACUCUAUAGGGUUCAUAGUACUUAGAGAUCCAUUUCAACAGUUUCCUCAAGGCAACAGAAGUUUGUCUGUAAGGCUGCAAUUUGAGGUAGACCAAGACAUUUACCUUAAACUCUCUUUCUGAUCUCUUCUUGUCUGCAUAAAACUUCAUUCUUUCUUGUGCCUUACUGAGACUAUCCUUCAGUAGCUGCAUCCAUUGUAGCCUUCUCAUUACUGCAUCUUCAGCUGCAGGACCUAUGUUUCUAGUAGGGGCUAGACAUCUGAGGUGGAAAGUAUCCAUACAAGGCUUCAAAAGGUGUGCACUGUAGACUAGUGUGAAAAUUGUUGUUGUACCAGCAUUCAGCUGCAGGUAACCAGAGACCCCAUUGGAUGGGUCUGUUUGCAGUCAUACACCUCAAGUAAUUUUCUAAGCAUCUAUUCACCCUCUUUGUUUGGCCAUCACUUUGAGGGUGAUAUGUAGUUCUAUAGCUUAGUGGUGUGCCCAACAACUUGAAUAAGGCUUGCCAAAAGUUACUAGAGAAAGUUUUGUCCCUGCCAAAACACAUCAACUAUAGUGACGGCAGAAUAGGGCUGUGAAAGUGCAAUGAAGUGGCCAUAGUUGGUCAUCCUAUCUACCACCACUUGUGUAACUUCUUUGUUUCCAGACUUUGGUAAUCCUUCUACAAAGUCCAUACUAUUAUGACUCCAUGCUUGAUUAGGAAUUGGUAGUGGUUGUAAAAUCCCAGGGUAGGGAACAUUCUCAUUUUUGUUCCUAUGACCGACAUCACAGGAAACCACAAACUGUAUCACAGUGUCCUUCAUGUUAGGCCAGUAAAACACCUAAGAUAACAUCUUCAAAGUUCCCAACUGACCAGAGUACCCUCCCAAAGGGAAUCAUGAAAUUUGUUGAUAAGUUGAAGCCUAAGAUCACCAUGAUCACCUACAUACACUUUUCAUCUACUCUUUAAAAUGUCACUAGAAAAAUUCCAUAAACUAGACCCUUGUUGCCCCACGAUAGUCUGAGCCAUCAAUUCCAAAGCAUGGUUAUCACCCUCAUAACUAUUGAUCACUUCUUGCAUCUUCAGAGGAAUAGUGGUGCUAAUAUGUCAUUUAAGUGACCAUUCUCUUGCCACACUGUCAUCUAUAACUUCUUUCUGUCAGGAAAGGGCAUCAACAACCCUAUUUUCAGCACCCUUUUGAUACUUCACCUCAUAAUCUAACCCAAUUACUUUUGCCAGUCCUUUUUGUUGAAUUUCUGAGGAGACUCUUUGCUCCAAAAGAGAUAUUUCAGUUUGUAGUGGUAGUUCUGACCACAAAAUGCUUGAAUUGGAUAGUGUCUCCAUUUACCUACUACAUUCAAGAGACUCAUAUACUCCUUUUCAUAGAUAGACUUACCCCUAUGUUUUGGUACUAAAACUUUACCAAAAUAAGUUAUAGGUCUGCCCCUUUGCAUGAGAACGGCACCAAUACCCCCAUGACUUGUAUCAAUUUCAACAAUAAACCCUCGAGUAUGAUUAGGUGAAGCUAACACACGAGGUGAGGACAUAGCAACCUUGAGAGAAUUAAAAGUUGAUUCCGACUUUGUACUCACACUGGAAAGCCUCUUCCGUGAGCAGAUCAACAGGGGUCUGCAGAUAGUACCAUAGUGAGCUACAUACUUCCUACAAUAUCUUGUCAAACCCAAAAACCCUCUAAGAGCCUUUACUGAGCAGGGUCUAGGCACUCCACUACGGCCUUAAUCCUGCUUGGAUCUGUAGCCACUCCUUUUCUGGUGAUAAUGUGUCCUAAGUACUCUGUUUGGGACUGGCCAAAUAAGCAUUUAGAUCUUUUUGCAAAUAGAGAAUGCUCCCUCAAUGUCUUAAAAACAGUUUAUAGAUGCAGCACGUGAUCUUAAAGUUAAAGACAGUAAAUAAGAAUAUCAUCCAAAAAUACCAAGACAAAUCUCCAAAUGUAAGGUUGAAAAGCAUGAUUCAUCAAAGCUUGAAAUGUUGCAGGGGCAUUUGUCAAGCCAACGAGCAUCACUCUAAACUCGUAUUGCCCUAAGUGAGUCCUAAAUGUAAUCUUGUAUACAUCCUCAGUCCUCAUCCUAAUUUGAUUGUGCUAAACUCUCAAAUCAACCUUGGAAAAAAUGACAGACCCAUGCAAUUCACUUACAGUUUUACGGAGUUUGUUCCGGGAUGGUUCAAGAUUGCUAAUACUAUAAACGCAUACUAUCAAAUAUUACAUGAAUUCAUUUCGAGUUCACAACAAAACACCCAAUUUCAUUUGGUAAACUCCAACUUGAUAUGUAUUAUUCAAGUCAUAUUGCCAAUUAUUAACGCUCGCUCUAAAAACACACACACUGCCUAAUGUGAACAAAAUCGAGUGUCCACAGACCGACCAUUUUAUUACACAUUCAUAUCCACAAUCAACCAACCAACAGAACCCAAACAAUCAAAGAAUCACAAAAACUAAAUGCAAUAAUUAGACAGGAUAGAAGUUUCACCUUGUGUUUGAUAGCAAACUGAGGCUCAAAUGUCAAGUUUUUGGGAAGGAGGAGGGAAGCUUAGGGUUUGUAUUUUGGAAAAGUUAAUGGAGAUUGAAAAUCGUAAAUUUGAUCUGGACCAUUUGAUCACUUAAUCAACGGUUAAAACUUAUAAUAGGUAAGAUAUAUAAAUUAUUAAAAAAAUAGUUGUACAAGGCUAUUUGGACUUCUAUUAUUUUCUACCAAAAAUAAAAAGGAUUCACUACUUUACACAAGGCUGAGCAUAUUUUGGUUUAAAUCAAAAAAAUCAAAAAAUUAAAUCGAAAUUUAAUUUUGAUUUUAGUUUUUUGGUUUUUCGGAUCUAAUUUGAUUUGUAAUUUUAAAAUUUUGGUUUUUGGUUUUUAAAAAAAAAAAAUCGGUUAAACCAAAAAAUCAAAAUUUUAUAAAUAAAUAAAUAGUAUAUAUAUUUUAUUAUAUAUAUAUAUAUAUAUAUAUAUAUAUAUUAUAUAUGGAUUGUUUUAGUGACUCAAAUAUUUUAUGGACUAUUUUGGUGACUUUGGACUAUUUUAUAGACUAUUUAUGAAGAAAGUAUGUUGUUUCAUGAACUAUUUUUAUGAGUUUUGUGUUUUGUAGAUUAUUUGUACAAAGUUAUAUUAUAUGUAAUGAUUAAUGACGUUAUGUAUUAUGUUAAGUUUAUGAUUAUUUCAUUUCGUUUCAUUCAUGUUGAGUUAUUUAUAGUUAUUUAUAUUUGGGAAUGAAAAACAGGUUUGAAAAAAAUAAUUUUUCUAAAAAUAUCUAUCAAUUUUAAAUGUUCAGUUAUGAAAAAAAAAGUCUAACUACUUUAAUAUUUCAAAUCGAAAUAAAAAUCCGAAUAACCGAACCGGAUUUGUAAAAACUGAACCAAACCGAAUUUAUUUCGGUUUGGUUACAGAUGUCAUUUUUGUCGAUCUGAAAACCAAUAAACCGAACCAAUAUUAAACAAUCAGACAGAACCGACCGAGGCCCACCCCAAACUUUACAUGCCAUUGCUUUCAUGAUCAUUUAUUUUACUACAUUAUUGUUUAUUUAACAUCAUAGAAUUAUAAUCACUAGCAUAUACGAAGAAAAUUCAGACAAUCAUCAAUAUAAUUAUUUGUUUCUAAUUUUAGAGAUAUGUAAAUUAAACUUGAUUUAAUUUGACAAAAAUAAAAAAUAUCAACAUCCAAAUACCAAUUGAAAAGUGUUUCCUCUCAUUAAUUAGUUCAUACGAUUUAUUUAUUUUUUUGUUUAGUGAAUAAUGGUGACAAUGAUAACUCUGUAGAGAAUGAUUUUAGGAUUUUAGUUUUCAAUAAGUUGGACAAUUUCAAUGCAUUAGUACAGUAUUUUAAAUUCUUAAACUAAUUCUUUUUUAAUCUACCAUCCAAUAAUGGUAUUUGCAAAACAAUGUCGACAAAUUAGAAAUUUCCCAUUUAUCAAAGCAAAAUUUUAGAAGCAAUUGGAGGAUGUAGUACUAAGAAAUAAUUAGAGUCCAAAUUAUACUAGUACUAUUUUCUUAUUUACAUUUAAAUAUUAAAUAAUAAAUUAAUUAAAAAUCUGACCUAUUAUAAGUCUUAAGAGUCCUGAUGGUGUAAAAUACCCAUUCCACUGAUGGUGUAUAUUAGUUAAUCUCAUUUUCAUUUAUUCUUUUUGAGCAUUAAUUUUAUGGAUUAUGUUUAAUAUUAUAAUUUGAUGUGUAGGCUUAAAAUGAUGUGAAGAUGAAGAAAUUUAGAGCUAAAAACAAAUUAAAGACGAAAGAUUAUAAAAAAGAAUUAAACAGGCAGCUUAAUGAAAGUAAUUUAUUAAAAUAAUCAAACAUACCUUGAAUUUGAACGGAGAAAACGACAAAUUCAAUAGCCUUCCGUGUUAGUGGCGCGACACGCAGCUAUAUCGCAAUCCACUUUUUUUCCUACACCUAUAAGUACUUCAUAAAAUCCGUUUUUACAUAACUUUUGACGUAGAGAGAGGUAAAAGUCGUCAUGAAGGCCGGAGAAAUUGAUCUCAUAUUUUCUUCUCCUUUAUUAUUUAUUUUACAUUUUUCUUUGAAUGAUUUGUUGUAACUGUUUCAUGUCUAUAUGGAGUUAAACUUCUCGUUCUAGUCUUCAGUUCACAUUCCAAAACACUAUUUUUUCUUCUUUAUUUUCACUUCAUUUUUCUAUUUUGAGAAGAAUUAUCAAUCAGUCACACAUAUUUCUGAAUUUUUAUUAGUUUUAGUGACAGCAUAGUCGCCCAAAAAGCCAUCACAAAAAGUGUAUUUUUUUGAAUUUUUAUUAGUUUUAGUGACAGCAUAGUCGCCAUAAAAAGCCGUCACGAAAAGUUUAUGUUUCGAAUUUUUAUGUCUUAGUGACAACAUACUCGCUACAAAAGGCUGUCACUAAAAGCAUUUUCUUCCGAAUUCUUGGAAAUUUUUAGUGACAGUAUAGUCGCAACAAAAGGCUGUCACUAAAAGUUUUCCAAAUCGUAUAAGUUUUAGUGACAACAAAGUCGCAACAAUAAAAUGUCACUAAAAGUAUACUUUUUGAAUUUUUAUAAGCUUUCAGCUGUUUUCGUUUUGCCCGUUUGACCACCCAAAUGGCCCCUCCGACCUUGUCGAGCCACCCUCACCCACUCCACACCUCGUCGAGUGUCCGCCUGUCGAUUUUUGACCCAAACCUCUCCUGGGCCCGGUCAACCACGAGAACUGUGGGCUAACACCCACUGAAUUGGCUAAAAAAAUGACCCAUUCACGUUGUUUCGCUCGUUUAACCACUCAAAUGGUCCCACCAAAACCAUCGGAUCACCCUUACCCUCUCCACACCCGCUGGUGGGCCGCCGAUCAAUUUUUGGCCAAAAUUACGCCUGAGCCCCGGGCCCAUUCCAAGAACCGUGGGCUAACACCUAACGAAUUAGCCCGAAAAUAGCCCGUAUGUGCUUUUUCACCCAUUUGACUAGCCAAAUGGCCCCACCGACCCCGUCGGGCUACCCUCACCCCGCUCUACACUCAUCAGUGGGCUGCCGGUUGAUUUUUGACCCAAAUUAUGCCCGAGCCCCGGGCCCACUCUAAGAACCGUGGGCUAACACCUAACGAAUAGUCCUGAAAAUGGAUCGUACUCGCUUUUCACCCGUUUGACCAGCCAAAUGGCCCCACCGACCACGCCAGACCACCCUCACAUGCUCCACACCUCGCCAGGGGGUCAUCGAUCGAUUUUUAACCCAAAUCACGCUCGGGCCUUGGGCCCACCCCAAGAACCGUGGACACCCACCGAUUUGGCUCAAGAAUGGCCCGUUCGCAUCGUUUCGCCUGUUUGACCACCUAAACAUCACCGUCGAGCCACCCUCACGUGCACCACACCCUGCAAGUGGUCCGCUGAUCAAUUUUGGCCCAAAACGCGCUCGAACCCCAUCCCGCCCCAAGAAUUGUGUGCUAACACCGAUCGAAUUAGCCUAAACAUGGACCGUCUACGCUGUUUCACGAGUUUGACCACCAAAAUGGCCCCACCAACCUCCUUGGGACAACCCAAAUGGCCCCGCCGACUAUAUUGAGCCGCUCUUACUUGAUCCACACCCCUUCGAGGAGUCAACGGUUGAUUUUUAGCCCAAACUGAGCCCGGGCCCAGGGCCGACCCCAAGAAUCGUAGGAUAACACCCACCGAAUCUGCCCCAAAAUAGCCCGUUCGCACCCGUUUGACCAUCUAAAUAGCCCCGUCGAACCUCACUCACCCGCUCCACACCCUGUCGAGGGGCUGCCGAUCGAUUUUCGACCUAAACUACAUCCGAACCCCUAGCCCAUUCUGAGAAUCGUGGGCUAACACCCACCGAAUUGGCCCGUUUGUGUCGUUUCGCCCGUUUGACCACCCAAAUGGCCCCGUCAGGCCACCUUCACUUACUACACACCACACCGAGAUCCGCCGGUCAAUUUUCGGCUCAAACCGCGCCCAAGCCCAGGUCCCACCUUGAGAACCGUGGGCUAACACCCAACAAAUUGGCCCAACGGCUCAUUUACACCGUAUCACCUGUUUGAACACCCAAAUGGCCCCGCCGAUCCUGCCGGGCCACCAUCAUCCGCUCCAUAUCCUCCAUUUGUCUUAAGCUGGCUAACCUCUUAUUCUUGUUGUUUCUGCAAAUUAUAUCAUAAUCACUGCAAAUGACAGCUAAUUAUUGUCAAAGAUUACAUGUGUAGACUUUCACAUUCUUCAAAAAAAGUGCAUAAAUUACUGACCAUAACUCAAAGCACUUUUGCUUGCAUUAAAGUUUUCUCUCUCUUCUAUAUAUGGAGACUAGCUUCAAUUCUUUAGUUCUUGCAAUGGCUAAGCACUCUGCUGCGUUGUAUUAGCUUUUGAGCCAAUUCCAAUGAAAGAUUUCCGUGCGGCGGACCCUGCUUUCCUGGGUAUUGCAAAUCAGUAAGUAUCUCAUAUAUACUCCCUUAGUUCAAAUUAAUGUGUCAUAGUUUGUGUUGACAUGAAGUUUAAGAAAGAAACAGAAUCUUUGAAACUUAUGGCCUUCUACAUGUCGCAACAUUUAUGUGUUUAUAACACUUCCUCAGUAAAAGUUUCAGAACAUUAGAAGUUCCAUUCUUUUUGGAAUGAGUUGAAAGGUAAGUGUGUCAUAUAAACUUGAACAAAGCCGAGGGAGUAUUAUAUCAGGGCUAGAAGAUCAAUGAUUUUAUAAAUUUUCCCACAAUAUCUUUUUUCCAUUUUGUCAGCUAAGGUAAAUGGCUUAGCUUGCAAAGAUCCCAAAGUCUAUUAGUGCAAAGGAGUUUUUCUUCAGUGGCCUACAUUUGGCUGGAAACACAUCAAACACUUUUGGCUCUAAGUUCACUGCUGUUAAUGUAGCUCAAGUUCCAGGACUCAACACUCUUGGUAUCUCACUAGCGCGUCUCGACUAUACACCAUAGGGAAUUAACCCUCCGCACACUCAUCCAAGAGCUACUGAAAUACUCAGUCCUUGAAAGUUCUCUUCAAGUUGGUUUCGUAACUUCAAAUCCGGAAUUCUAGUCUCAAAAACACAUUCAAGUCUCACCACCUGUAAGGUAGUGGUGACUGCAUACACUCUACCUCCUCAGACCCCACUGGGUGGGAAUACACUGGGUAUGCUGUUUUUUGUCGUAGCCAAUCACAAAACACAUUUUGCUCAACAUUAUCAAUAUGAAUCAAAACUUCACACUACCACAAUAAUCACUCCUGGUGCUUAUUCCACAUGAUAAUCACAACGAAAUCCUAUGGAUCUGCACCAAGGCAACAAACAAGAAUAUUAUAUCGAGAGAAUGGUCAAAUACCCCCAACCUAUAGUCGAAAUCUCAACUACACACUCAACCUUUCAAUUAGACCUAUUACCCCUGGUCUAUUUUUUCCUAUAUUUGUUACCCCUAAAUGUUAAGCUGGCAAGGAAGGUGAGAACACCCCCUCUAGGUGCGUUGGUUUAGUCCCAGCACGUCCAAAAUUAAAAGUUCAGCCCUCCACGUUUAUUAUACACGUCAUUUAUUGUUUAUUUAAUGAAAUAAAUAUGGAAAAUUACUUUCUCUCUUCCAACGGUCAUCUUCUUCCUCUUUAUAUGACCCAUAUCUUUCUCCACCAUUUUCCUUCAUGUUCCAGCAUUUUUUUUNNNNNNNNNNNNNNNNNNNNNNNNNNNNNNNNNNNNNNNNNNNNNNNNNNNNNNNNNNNNNNNNNNNNNNNNNNNNNNNNNNNNNNNNNNNNNNNNNNNNNNNNNNNNNNNNNNNNNNNNNNNNNNNNNNNNNNNNNNNNNNNNNNNNNNNNNNNNNNNNNNNNNNNNNNNNNNNNNNNNNNNNNNNNNNNNNNNNNNNNNNNNNNNNNUGUUGUGAGAUGCAAACAUGGUAUUUUGGUUGACUUGCAAACUUCAUGGUCGAAGUCAAAUUCGGGAAGAAGAUGUUGGUCUUGCCCCUACUAUGGUGUACGUAUUUUGCAUUGUAUUUUGCUGUCAAUUUAUAUUCAAAUUAUGAUAAUGUCCUAAUUUCUAAAAAAAAAAUUCAAUCUCAAAAUGUAAUUUUUUUCUAUGGAGGGACGAAGAAAAAGUGGAUCCAAGAUCAAAUUUUAUCAUUCUAAGAUUGGUGAACAAAAUCAAUGAGUUAGAAGAAGACUUAUGGCUUAAAGGGGCCCAAAUUGAUAACUUGAUGGGGAGAAAAAGCUCAAUGGAAGAUGGAGACAGUGUAGGUUGAAUAGGAAGAUAUUUUUAUGUAUUUUGAUUUGUGUUGCUGUUAUGUUCAUCAGCAACAAAUGAACUGAAAGUAGUUGCUAGAUAUGGUUGACUAUGGUGUAAAUUUUUUAUACCUCUCUAAAUAUAUCAGAUUAUGUUUUAUUAUGGUGUCUUUUGCGUAGUCUUACUUCAUAUGUUUGUUGUGCUGCUGCUAUGUAAUUGUUUGCACUCAUGCUGCUUGACUAUGGUGUAAAUUUUUUAUACCUCUCUAAAUAUAUCAGAUUAUGUUUUAUUAUGAUGUCUUUUGCGUAGUCUUACUUCAGAUGUUUGUUGUGCUGCUGCUAUGUAAUUGUUUGCACUCAUGCUGCUGGUAUGUUAAUGUUUGCACAUUCAAAAUUGUGUUGUGUUCCUGCUACGUUGUUGUUUACACUUACAAAAUUGUGUCGUGUAUUGUUGCUAUGUUAUUGUUUACACUUGCAGUAUCUUGUCUUGUUGCUAUGUUAUUGUUUACAAUUGCAAAUUUGUGUAUUGUUANNNNNNNNNNNNNNNNNNNNNNNNNNNNNNNNNNNNNNNNNNNNNNNNNNNNNNNNNNNNNNNNNNNNNNNNNNNNNNNNNNNNNNNNNNNNNNNNNNNNNNNNNNNNNNNNNNNNNNNNNNNNNNNNNNNNNNNNNNNNNNNNNNNNNNNNNNNNNNNNNNNNNNNNNNNNNNNNNNNNNNNNNNNNNNNNNNNNNNNNNNNNNNNNNNNNNNNNNNNNNNNNNNNNNNNNNNUACAGCGCUUUAAUUGUUUUCCAACACCAAAAUAAAAUUAUUUUCAUGUCAACUGAUCUAACUUAAAACAGUGCUUAAAAUAAUCAACAUCCUUACAAUUUUCAUGGCAUCUUGGACUUUGAAGAAGUGUUUUUUUGACUUGGAUUAUUUGAACUGCUUUCCACAUUCUUUUUUCUUUUCUUCUCUUUAAUCUCUUGUAGUUUUUUUGUUGAUAUUGCUGUUUUGCUAUUCAAAAAUCACCCAAAAAAACUGAUGAAACCGCGGUUUAGAAAGUAGAGAAUAGAGGAGAGAGAAAGAUUUAGAGAGAAGAGAGAGGAAAUGAAAUUGAAAAGAUAAAAGAGAUAUUUUGUUUUGUUUAGGCGUAGACCAGGCGUGUGAAAUGCAUAAAAGUCUUUUUACUUGGUUUAUGUUGCCAGCUCAGCAUUUAGGGGUAAUAAAUAUAGAAAAAAAUAGAUCAGGUAAUAGGUCUAAUUGAAAGGUUGAGUGUGGAGUUGAGAUUUUGGGAUAAUAAAUAUAGGAAAAAAUAGAUCAGGGUAAUAGGUCUAAUUGAAAGGUUGAGCGUGUAGUUGAGAUUUCGACUAUAGGUUGGACAUAUUUGACCAUUUUUUCUAUUAUAUCCUGAGGCUAUGUUUUAAUAGCCAUCUUAAAACAAGAAGAUAUUUUCUGAAAGAAAGGCACUAUUCUUGUCCCAGUCAAAAGAGCACAAACAUUGCUUCAUAUACAAAACCAUAUUAAGUACCACUGUUAGUGAGCUGAUCACUGCCAAAAUUUGUAUAUAUAGGAAUGUAUUCUUUAAAUGGAAACUUAAAAACAAAAAAAAUGAUGUGGCUAUGGCAAACAUAUAUUACGAAGCAUCAUGCCUCAGAUACAAAUGACGCCAUAAUCAAGCUUCUGCUAGUUUUAACCGGGGGACAAUGUUCAUUGAUUGGAGCUCCUGGAUUAGGAGUUUGCAUGCAUAAGGCAACUUCAUCAUAGAAAUAUUUUCCCCGUUCUUGCACAUAGAACAAAUGCCAGUCUUCAACUUGUAGUUGUAAUAUCCCAAUAAACCACAUUUUCGGCAAACCUGAACCUCGA